rnacentral:rRNA from 1 species
AUCAACGCUGGCGGCGUGCCUCAGACAUGCAAGUCGAACGAUUAAACUUUCCUUCGGGAAAGAUAUAAAGUGGCGCACGGGUGAGUAACACGUAGGUAAUGUACCGAAGGGUGGGGAAUAACUUAGGGAAACUUAAGCUAAUACCGCAUAAUGCAGCGGCUCGACAUCGAGACAGUUGUUAAAGGAGCAAUCCGCCUUUUGAGCAGCCUGCGGCAGAUUAGCUAGUUGGUAAGGUAAUGGCUUACCAAGGCUACGAUCUGUAACCGACCUGAGAGGGUGGUCGGUCACACUGACACUGAAUAACGGGUCAGACUCCUACGGGAGGCAGCAGUCGGGAAUUUUGGGCAAUGGGCGAAAGUCUGACCCAGCAACGCCGCGUGAAGGAUGAAGUCUCUCGGGAUGUAAACUUCGUAAGAAUAGGAAGAAUAAAUGACGGUACUAUUUGUAAGGUCCGGCUAACUACGUGCCAGCAGCCGCGGUAAUACGUAGGGACCAAGCGUUGUUCGGAUUUACUGGGCGUAAAGGGCGCGUAGGCGGCGUGGUAAGUCACUUGUGAAAUCUCCGAGCUUAACUCGGAACGGUCAAGUGAUACUGCUGUGCUAGAGUACAGAAAGGGCAAUCGGAAUUCUUGGUGUAGCGGUGAAAUGCGUAGAUAUCAAGAGGAACACCUGAGGCGAAGGCGGGUUGCUAGGCUGAUACUGACGCUGAGGCGCGAAAGCUAGGGUAGCAAACGGGAUUAGAUACCCCGGUAGUCCUAGCCCUAAACGAUGUAUGCUUGGUGUCUGGAGUAUUAA